GGGGGAGGCGGGGGGGAACCCCGCUCCCGUCCCCAUCACAGGCACCUACCUUCAUCUCCUCGUUGAUUUCCCGCUUCACUGGAGCAGCAGGACCUCGCAGAGACCCUCGAGAAGGCUCUGCUGGCAGUGAAGAGCUGCAGGAGUACAGCUGCAGCAGGGCUUGCGCUGUGGGCUUUGUCCAUUCUGCGAACCCCAGGAACACAAGGUCUGGGCUCAGACCCACCAGCAGCAAGUAUGAGAAGAAACGAAGGUCACCAGAAGGUGCAGAUGGGAGACGGUCACAUGCAAUUUCCAUCCCACCCACACGGCUCAGCAAAGGCUUGCCAUGAGACUUCACCUUUGGGGCUGUUGUUGCCAUCGCGGUAAGCGAACAAGCAUCUGUGCUUCGGAAAUCAGUGGAUGGAAGGUGUUCCGUGAAAAGCAGCAUGUGGGAAAGCAGCUUAAAAUGGACCCUCCCAAAUCACAUCUUCUAUGAUUUUAAGGGAUAUGAGAUGAAAAAAAAAUCCAUAGAAAAUCUACAGAUUUGUGAGAUUACUUGGCUCCAAAUCGCUGCUGUUUUGAGAGUCUCUGUCCAAAUUCCCCUGAGUGGGAUUCCGCCUGUCAGAGGAAAUGGCCUAAGAGGCUGUCUUACAAUUGAAAUUGGGUUGGGAGGUGAAAAAACAGUGACUCUACGAAGGAGGGGUGUGAUCGGCUGCACACUUGUCUGCCCCUGCUCAUACUCAGCUUGCUGAAAUGGAGCGACUUCAAUUGAUUUUGCUAUUUUUGCAGUGCUGCCUGACGAGCCAGUGAAGAGGGAACUGUGUUCUGUGAGAAAGCAGCAUGGGAGGGGCAUGUCCCACUGCCUGUGCUGCACUGCUGGGAGCUACCCGGAGCUUUGGCUUCUCAUCUGCGCUGUGCACCGAUGAGCUGCUGUAUCACUGUGUUUUGUGUGCAAAGGGUAACAUACACCUACUCUGUCAAAGGAUUCCUAUAUAUCACAUCAAUAUUUAUUUAUUUGUUUUAAACAAAAAUAGUUAUGCAUUUGUUAUUUAUUAACCAGCAUGUUCUCAUAUUGGCAUACUUAGGCUUAAAAAUUAAUAACUUUUAGUGUAAAAUUCUGUGCAAGGGACAUGACUCCUACUGAAACCAACUGAUGUUAAAUGUGGUGUUUUUUCAGCAUCUAACUAUGGGAUCAAUAAGGCCUUCAUCCUUGUCGGUAGUCUGUCAGCUGGUAGGAAGACAGGCAGCCUUGUAGACAAGACACAGACAAGGAGGUCAAGAGAAGUGGAUUCUUUUCUCAGUUUGCCUUCGGGCUUUUGCAAAGCCUUGGACAAAUCACACAACCUCUCUGCUAAACCUCCUGACUUCCAAAAUGGAAAUGAACAUAACUGUCUGCUUCCCAAGGAUGCUAUGGAGUAAAUCAAUUCUCAGAGAGGGGGGAAGGGAGGGGAAGGAGGUGUGUGGGAACAAAAACUACCUGGAUGCUUUGGAAGGAACAGACAUAUUUCUGUUAGUAUGCAUUUUUGUAAACAGCCUUGGAGUGCACCUAAGUAUUAACACAUUAAAAAAUUAAGCAACAGCUAGAGGAUUUGGUUAUAUAGGCAGGGUAUAGUUAAUAAUACAUUAACAUUGCUAGUCUCAUUCUCCUAUGGACAUAAUUCAUUUUGGAUAAGGCCAGGAUAACUACAAAAGAUUGAAAGGUCAAACAUUCCCAAUCAAAUGAGAACACUUUGCAAUUGUUUUAGUUUAGAUGGUAGUCAGAAAAAUAUUUCCACCUUUCAUUUGCUAGAAAAGCUAUCCAGAGCUGGCAUUAGCAGUGGCUUUGAUGUAUUCUCUGGUACAUUGGUCCAGAGCAUGCUGAUGUAAACAGAAGUGUCUCUUGACCUGUUAUCUUUGUUCUUCAACUUUGAUAUUUGCCCCCUUCAAUAGCUUCUUUCUCCUCCUGGGGAGACUUAAAAAAGUCAAUUGAUAGAGAAAAGAAAGAGUUUCAGGUUUUUUCUCUGCAUAAGACCCUAAAGAAAUAGACACAUCUAUUGUACAGUCACUGAAGCUCUUGAAAUAGUGUGGGUUUUUCUCUUGAAUCCUGCAGGGAAAUGAGCAAAGAAGGAAAAAAAAAAAAAGCAUGCAGUUUUGUCCACAACUACGGUAAGUACAUCAUACUUUUGAUACUUUUGCUCCUGAUGGUUUUUUUGAGAGAAAAACUGAGAAACUCUGCUUCAGAAACAGGCAGUGCAAACAGUAAUGCCUGUGGGUAAGUUGGUCCAUCAUUGCCCAUUAUACAACCUUGUUUUUUGAUGCCUGUAUCUGUCAAAUAUUAGCUAAUUUGUAAUGACUUUUUUUCUGUGAUUGGUGUGUUAGCCUGAAGCUAAUUCUUAAAAUAGUUCAGUCAGUUUGCAAAAUGACGUUGGCAAAAAAAUACAUUUUUCUUCCAUUAAAAAUAUCGUUGGGUUGCAUGACUGAGAAACUCUCCACGCACUAUACCUGAAAUUUGGCAAAGGAUUUGCCAAGGAUUUGAUGGGUACCACCCAUAAACAUGUACAAUAAGAAGAGCCCACUAUUAGGAUGCAAGCUGUGCAGACAAGAGGAUGAGUGGAACUUAAUGAGCAAAAAAUGAUGAGGCUGUGACAAGAAUGAAAGAGCGGUAGCCUGUAAGGAUGGUGUGUAGGACUGAGGUAAAGACAUGAGGAUGUUAGGAGAAAGAAACCAUGAGCAUGGUCCAGGAGUUAAAAAUGAACUACUGAAGUAAGACUCUUAGGUUCUUAAAAGAAGGGAAAGGGAUGAAGGGAUUGGACUGGGAGACGGAAAGUCUUUGGGUAUUACAGCACAGUCUUUUCAAAGAGUCUCUGUACUCAAAAACUAAUAAAAAAAAAGCUAUAAAACUCA